CCUGACCAGCCAUGCCGCGUGCAGGAUGACGGUCCUAUGGAUUGUAAACUGCUUUUGUACGGGAAGAAACACUCCGACGUGUCGGAGCUUGACGGUACCGUAAGAAUAAGGAUCGGCUAACUCCGUGCCAGCAGCCGCGGUAAUACGGAGGAUCCAAGCGUUAUCCGGAAUCAUUGGGUUUAAAGGGUCCGUAGGCGGUCUGGUAAGUCAGUGGUGAAAGCCCAUCGCUCAACGGUGGAACGGCCAUUGAUACUGCUGGACUUGAAUUACUGGGAAGCAACUAGAAUAUGUAGUGUAGCGGUGAAAUGCUUAGAGAUUACAUGGAAUACCAAUUGCGAAGGCAGGUUGCUACCAGUGGAUUGACGCUGAUGGACGAAAGCGUGGGUAGCGAACAGGAUUAGAUACCCUGGUAGUCCACGCCGUAAACGAUGGAUACUAGCUGUUGGGAGCAAUCUCAGUGGCUAAGCGAAAGUGAUAAGUAUCCCACCUGGGGAGUACGUUCGCAAGAAUGAAACUCAAAGGAAUUGACGGGGGCCCGCACAAGCGGUGGAGCAUGUGGUUUAAUUCGAUGAUACGCGAGGAACCUUACCAAGGCUUAAAUGCAGACUGACCGAUUUGGAAACAGAUCUUUCGC
rnacentral:rRNA from 1 species